GACGUAGGGCGCGAGCGUUGUCCGGAUUUAUUGGGCGUAAAGAGCUCGUAGGCGGCUUGUCGCGUCGUUCGUGAAAUUCCACGGCUCAACUGUGGGCUUGCGGGCGAUACGGGCAGGCUGGAGUUCGGUAGGGGAGACUGGAAUUCCCGGUGUAGUGGUGGAAUGCGUAGAGAUCGGGAGGAACACCCGUGGCGAAGGCGAUGGCCUGGACCUCGAGCUGACGCUGAGGCGCGAAAGCGUGGGGAGCGAUCCGG
rnacentral:rRNA from 1 species